rnacentral:tRNA from 1 species
GGAUAUAGCUUAGUUGGUGGAGAGUUUGCCUCACAUGCACAAGGCCCUGGGUUCAAUCCCCAGCAAAAACCA